CUAAUUCAAAAAAAAAAGACACAAACAAUAUUCGAAAAACACUUUUCGAUAUUAAUAACAAUAUCGAAUGUCAAACAGCAAUAAUUCACUAGUUAUAUUAU